rnacentral:rRNA from 1 species
AACGAACGCUGGCAGCAGGCUUAACACAUGCAAGUCGAACGCCCCGCAAGGGGAGCGGCAGACGGGUGAGUAACGCGUGGGAACGUACCUUUCAGUUCGGAAUAACUCAGGGAAACUUGUGCUAAUACCGGAUACGCCCGCAAGGGGCAAGAUUUAUCGCUGAAAGAUCGGCCCGCGUUGGGUUAGCUAGUUGGUGGGGUAAAGGCCUACCAAGGUGACGAGCCAUAGAGGGUCUGGGAGGAUGAUCAGCCACACUGGGACUGGGACACGGCCCGGACUCCUCCGGGAGGCAGCGGUGGGGAAUAUGGGACAAUGGGCGAAAGCCUGAUCCAGCCAUGCCGCGUGUGUGAUGAAGGCCUUAGGGUUGUAAAGCACUUUCACCGAUGAAGAUAAUGACGGUAGUCUGAGAAGAAGCCCCGGCUAACUUCGUGCCAGCCGCCGCGGUAA